UUGAUUUGGCAGCACAUAUACUAAAAUUGGAACGAUACAGAGAAGAUUAGCAUGGAUGCUGCACAAGGA
ensembl:snRNA U6 U6 spliceosomal RNA